CAGUCAAUGAUUUACACUCGGGAGUGGAGACAGACCGCCAAAGCUUUGCUGGGCUGAGCCCAUCAUAACUGUACGCUGGACUGAAAAGAAGACUAUAAUACGAUAGUCUUCCUAUAUAAAAGAGGGGAACUUCAAAGUGAACCACAACAGCAGUAGCAAGAAAUGUGUGAGCAGCAGCUACAGCUUAAAAGUGGAUCCACAGAAACAUCCCAUGACUUCAUGGAAUGUUGACACGGCGCUGUCGCAAGGGGAACGUGGGCAGACGUUUUGUGGCAGCACGCAUAGGCAGACCAUGACUGUUACGUCUUGGAACACACCUCUGGAGUACCUCUCUCACAGGUAAAUACAGGACAUCUCCAGGCUGUGUAAGAGCUAUUUGACCAAGGAGGAGAGUGAUGGAGGGCUGCAUCAGAUGACCUGAUCACAACAUAUGCCUAGUUUCCUGAAAUUAGUCACAUAUGAAUUGUGUGUAAAUAUUAUUUUUGUUGUCUCUUGGUGUCUUUCCUUUGAAUUUAAUGUAUAUCAUAUGUUGUUCUUGUCUAUUACUGUUCUGUACAUUUUAUGUGGACCCCAGGAAAAGUAGCUGCUGCAUGUGCAGUAAGUAAUGGGGAUCCUCAA